rnacentral:rRNA from 1 species
AGAAUCAACGCUGGCGGCGUGCCUCAGACAUGCAAGUCGAACGAUUAAAGCUCUCUUCGGAGAGUGUAUAGAGUGGCGCACGGGUGAGUAACACGUAAGUAAUCUACCCUCGAGUGGGGAAUAACGUCCGGAAACGGACGCUAAUACCGCAUAAUGCAGCGGCACCGCAAGGUGACAGUUGUUAAAGAUUUAUCGCUUGAGGAGGAGCUUGCGGCAGAUUAGCUAGUUGGUAAGGUAAUGGCUUACCAAGGCUACGAUCUGUAACCGGUCUAAGAGGACGGUCGGUCACACUGACACUGAAUAACGGGUCAGACUCCUACGGGAGGCAGCAGUCGGGAAUUUUGGGCAAGUGGGACGAAAGCCUGACCAGCAACGCCGCGUAGAAGGAUGAAGUAUUUCGGUAUGUAAACUUCGAAAGUAAGUGGAAAGAAUACGAAAUCGAACGGUUAACCUAAGUUUUAA